rnacentral:snoRNA from 1 species
AAGAUUGUAUUUUCAGGGAUCAUUUCUGUAGUUCUUUGUUUGGAAAUGUGUUUUGAAAGUGUUUGCUUUCCAACCCGCAAUGAUGAGCUGUAAUGCUUCUUUCUGAGAGUGAAUCUUGGACAGAACUGUGACUUUAAUCACAAUCUGUCGUUGAUGAGCAUUCAUAUUGCUUCUGCCAAUAUUGAAGAAAGCAGUAUUAUCUGAGUGGU